GCUCAAAUUUGAAAUCUGGCUGCUUUUUUAGUAGUCCGAGUUGUAAUUUGAAGAAUAGAUCCUUGGAGAGGCGCCUUGUCUAUGUUCCUUGGAACAGGACGUCGCAGAGGGUGAGAAUCCCGUUUGGCGAGGUGUGCUGAUCCGUGUAAGGGCUGUUCGACGAGUCGAGUUGUUUGGGAAUGCAGCUCUAAGUGGGUGGUAAAUUCCAUCUAAAGCUAAAUAUUGGCGAGAGACCGAUAGCGAACAAGUACAGUGAUGGAAAGAUGAAAAGAACUUUGAAAAGAGAGUGAAAAAGUACGUGAAAUUGUUGAAAGGGAAGGUUAUUAGAUCAGACUUGGAUUUUUUAUUAUAUUUGUCUCCUUGUGGGGCAUUCACUAAUUUUUAAUCCAGGCCAGCAUCGAUUGGGAUGGCGGGAAAAAGAGGGAGGAACGUGGCUGUGCAUUUAUGUGCAGUGUUUAUAGCCUUUCUUAAUACCGCCUGUCUC
rnacentral:rRNA from 1 species